rnacentral:rRNA from 1 species
UACGUAGGGUGCGAGCGUUGUCCGGAAUUAUUGGGCGUAAAGAGCUUGUAGGCGGUUUGUCGCGUCUGCUGUGAAAAUCCGGGGCUCAACCCUCGAAUGCCGGUGGAUACUGUCGGGCUAGAGUGCGGAAGAGGCGACUGGAAUUCCUGGUGUAGCGGUGAAAUGCGCAGAUAUCAGGAGGAACACCGGUGGCGAAGGCGGGUCUCUGGGCCGAUACUGACGCUGAGGAGCGAAAGCGUGGGGAGCGAACAGG